CUUCCGUUAAAGGGUGCCUGCGGAAGGAUCAUUACAGAAUGAAAAGUGCUUAACUGCAUUUUUUCUUACACAUGUGUUUUUCUUUUUUUGAAAACUUUGCUUUGGUAGGCCUUCUAUAUGGGGCCUGCCAGAGAUUAAACUCAACCAAAUUUUAUUUAAUGUCAACCGAUUAUUUAAUAGUCAAAACUUUCAACAACGGAUCUCUUGGUUCUCGCAUCGAUGAAGAACGCAGCGAAAUGCGAUAAGUAAUAUGAAUUGCAGAUAUUCGUGAAUCAUCGAAUCUUUGAACGCACAUUGCGCCCUUUGGUAUUCCAAAGGGCAUGCCUGUUUGAGCGUCAUUUCUCCCUCAAACCCUCGGGUUUGGUGUUGAGCGAUACGCUGGGUUUGCUUGAAAGAAAGGCGGAGUAUAAACUAAUGGAUAGGUUUUUUCCACUCAUUGGUACAAACUCCAAAACUUCUUCCAAAUUCGACCUCAAAUCAGGUAGGACUACCCGCUGAACUUAAGCAUAUCAAUAAGGCGGAGGAA
rnacentral:rRNA from 1 species